CGCGGUGUAGCUCAGCCAGGUAGACGCAGCAGGUUCAUACCCUGAUGGUCGUCGGAUCGAAGCCGGCCGCCGCAACCA
rnacentral:tRNA from 1 species